rnacentral:sRNA from 1 species
AAAUUUAUUGUUUUCUUACCGUUUUUCCUAAUUAUAAUUUAAUUUAAUGCAAAAUUAGUAUUAAUGUGAUACUUUUGAAUCAUUUUGUAAACCGUCGUUAAAAUAUAUAAAAAGUGACGCUAGUAUAUUUAAAGUGAAGCAAAAUAAGUUAACGUCGGCCACUAAUAUGUCAAUUUUGUAA